GAGACCGUAGCUCAGCUGGAUAGAGCGACAGAUUCCUAAUCUGUAGGUCAUGAGUUCGAAUCUCAUCGGUCUCACCA
rnacentral:tRNA from 1 species